CAGUGGGGAAUAUUGCACAAUGGGCGCAAGCCUGAUGCAGCCAUGCCGCGUGUAUGAAGAAGGCCUUCGGGUUGUAAAGUACUUUCAGCAGUGAGGAAGGUGCUGUCGUUAAUAGCGGCAUCAUUUGACGUUAGCUGCAGAAGAAGCACCGGCUAACUCCGUGCCAGCAGCCGCGGUAAUACGGAGGGUGCGAGCGUUAAUCGGAAUUACUGGGCGUAAAGCGCAUGCAGGUGGUUUGUUAAGUCAGAUGUGAAAGCCCGGGGCUCAACCUCGGAAUUGCAUUUGAAACUGGCAGACUAGAGUACUGUAGAGGGGGUAGAAUUUCAGGUGUAGCGGUGAAAAUGCGUAGAGAUCUGAAGGAAUACCGGUGGCGAAGGCGGCCCCCUGGACAGAUACUGACACUCAGAUGCGAAAGCGUCGGGGAGCAAACAGGAUUAGACUACCCUGGUAG
rnacentral:rRNA from 1 species